GUGAUUUUUCUCGUUAAUGUAUUGCUUUGAUUGGUUCGUUGGGAGUCGCCACCUAGUAAUUUAUUGAAGGCUACUAGGAAACCGGACGUGCUGGUCUUGUCAGAGAUUCGCGGGUAAGGGACUGGUUGUGGUUAGAGAAGGUAUUAGCACCCCUAACGCACCCUACUUGAAGUAAGUUGCUUCAUGGCUUUUGAUGUGUUAAAGAAGUUUUAAUAAUUGUCUUUUCAUCGGAUAUCAGAAAUACAACUUACGUAUAAGUUAAUAAUUCUUGACCAUGAUCCAAUCAAAAUAUUAAAUUCUUCUUUAAUCUUUGCAAUUUUAUCAUAAAAAUAUAUAAAAAUUAAAAUAAAACACACACAUACACUUUCAUUAUAUUUCUUUUCUUUUCAUACACACUAUUAACAUCUUACAAAUCACCAAAAUUAAAAAUAAAUCAAAACAAUACAUUAAACAAUUCAAAAAUAUUAAACAAUUCAAAAAUUACAAAAUAAACCCCAUAAAAAUUCAUAACAGUGCUGGGGAAGCUUUUUGAAAUUGCAUGCAGUGCUGAGGAAGGUCUCUGAACAGGUGAAUAGUGGCGGCGCGUCUUUCCCACGCACCCACCGCCAAUGUAGAAGAAUACACUAAAAUUAAAUAAUUUGUAUAGCACAAAGUAUCCUGUAGUCUUCGUACAGCAUCAAAGAUUUCUACGAGUGAGCCAGUGAACAUUUCAGAUUAUUGUAGAAGAGGGGCAGUGGCUGGUGGUAAAAACUUGAGUGCCAAACUUGCCCUGUGGAAAACGCGUUUCCAGUAGAAAACUACAAAUGUGGAAAGUCCAAAGAUGAUUUUUAAAAUUAAUCCCUAUCAACCUACUGACCCACCGACAAUAAAAUUUGAACCUUGCGAUUGCAAAGUUAAUCCCUAUUAACUACUGCUAACAGUUCAUGAGCUUCAUUAGAUUCUUUCAUCCCAAUAGGAACAGAGAAAAGACCCAACACUGCUCUGGUGUUGAUUUUUUCCAACAGAUAUGUCAAUACUAAGAUAUAAAAAACAUUAUUUCAAAUUAGAAAAAAGACUAAAAUAUUAAAACAAUUCCUAAAAAAAUAAGUUAAUACAGUUUUUCUAGUAAAUGCAUAUGCCAAUGACUAUAAUAUAUAUAAAUGUGAACAUAAAUGCAUAUGGUAAUGACUGUAAAUAUAUAAAAGUGAAAAUGACCUCCUCGUUUACUGAUGACACAGAAGAAAACUCAUGCACGUUUUCCUACCACAAUAUACCUGGAGAUCGCGCAACCAUUAGGGUAGAAGGCAGGAGACUUACACAGAGAGAGAGCGAAGGGAGCUGCAAUCUAUAGGAAAGAGGCUCGCUGCUUGGGACCAUAUCUAUACAGAGAGUACCCACUGAUCUCCCUCAGGUCAGCACUAUCUAGUUUUGUUCUUUGAAAAUUUACGGACGAUGUUUUGGAUUUGGUUUGAGCUCUUCAGACAUUAGAUGGUUUAAUAUAUGUAAAGCAUUCUAUCCAUAAAGUUUACCUUUUCCCUAUAAAGGGGCA
rnacentral:lncRNA from 1 species